rnacentral:rRNA from 1 species
AUACGAAAGGUGCAAGCGUUGUUCGGAUUUACUGGGCGUAAAGAGAUCGUAGGUGGUUUAUUAAGUCGGAUGUGAAAUCCCGGGGCUCAACCCCGGAACUGCAUUCGAUACUGGUAGACUAGAGUUUGGGAGGGGUAAGCGGAAUUCCGUGUGUAGCAGUGUAAUGCGUAGAUAUACGGAGGAACACCUGAGGCGAAGGCGGCUUACUGGACCAAUACUGACACUGAGGAUCGAAAGCGUGGGUAGCAAACAGGAUUAGAAACCCUAGUAGUCC